rnacentral:rRNA from 1 species
CCUGGUUGAUCCUGCCUGCAGCAUAUGCUUGUCUCAAAGAUUAAGGCAGGCAUGUCUAAGUACACAUGGUUGAUACAGUGAAACCAUGACUGGCUGAUUAAAUCAGUUAUGAUUCCUUUUGGUCACUUCAACCACUACUGGGAUAACUGUGGUAAUUCUAGAACUAAUACAUGCCGACGAGUGAUGACCUCUGGGAAUCCGUGAAUUUAUCAGACCAAAACCAACCUGGGCUCGCCCGUCCACUUUCGUGUCUCUAGAUAACCUCAGGCCAAUCAUGUUUCCUCUUGGCGAUGACAAUGCAUUUAAAUGUUUGCCCUAACAACUUUUGAUGGUACUUUCUGUACUUACCAUGGUGACCACGGGUCACGGGGAAUUAGGGUUUGAUUCCAGAGAUGGAGGGCGAGAAAUGGCUACCGUAUCGAAGGAAUGCAGCAGGCGUGCAAAUUACCCUCUCCCAACCCGGGGAGGUAGUUACGAGAGAUAACAAUACAGGACUCUGUGGAGGCCCUGUAAUUGGAAUGAGUACACUUUAAAGCCUUUAACGAGGAUCCAUUGGAGGGCAAGUCUGAUGCCAGCAGAUAGGGUAAGCCCAGCUCCAAUAGCAUAUAUUAAAGUUGCUGCAGUUAAAAAGCUCAUAGUUGGAUCUUGGAAUCUAGAUGUCAAUCUGCUGUGAGGUAAGUUACUACCCCCUCCCAGCCCCUGCCUCUCAGCACUCCCUUGAUGCUCUUAACUGAGUGUCCUGGGGGUCCGAAGCAUUUAUUUCGAAAACAGAGUGUUCAAAGCAGGCUGGUCACUGGAAUACUCCAGCUAGGAAUAAUGGAAUAGGACUCUGGUUCUAUUUUGUUGGUUUUCGGAACUGGGGCCAUGAUUAAGAGGGACGGCCGGGGGCAUUCGUAUUGUGCCCCUAGAGGUGAAAUUCUUGGACUGGCAAAAGCUAAACCAAAGCAAAAACAUUGCCAAAAAUGUUUUCAUUAAUCAAGAAUGAAAUUCAGAGGUUCCAAGAUGAUCAGAUACUGUCAUAGUUCAGACCAUAAACGAUGCCGACUAGUGAUCUGGCAGCGUUAUUCCAUGACUUGCCAGGUAACUUAAGGGAAACCAAAGUCUUUGAGUUCGAAGUGGAAUAUGACUGCAAAGCUGAAACUUAAAGGAACUGAUGGAAGGGCACCACCAAGAGUGGAAACUGCAGGUUAAUUUGACUCAACACAGGCAACCUCACCUGAUCUGGACACGGAAAGGAUUGAUACAGAUUGAUAGCUCUUUCUUGAAUUUGUGGAUGGUGGUGCAUGACUGUUCAUAGUAGGUGGAGUGAUAUGUCUGCUUAAUUCUGACAAUGAACAAGACUCUGGCAUGCUAAAUAGCUGGGCAACCCCAUAGCAGUCGGUGCCUAACUCCUCAGAGGGAAAAGCAGCAUUCAGCCACCCAAGAUUGAGCAAUAACAGGUCUGUGGUGCCACUGUGUGUCUGCCCUGUGCUGACAGUUGGAGGUAACCUGUUGAACUCCAUUCAUGAUAGGGAUUGGAGAGUGCAAUUAUUCCUGAUGAAUGAGGAAUUCCCAGUAAGUGCAGGUCAUAAUUGUAUUGAUUAAGUCCCUACCUUUUGUAUAGGCCACAUUUUGCUACUAGCAAUUAGACAAUUUAAUGAGCUCUUUGGAUCAACCCUGCCAGGGUCAGUCACGGCCCUGGUGGAGUGCCAAGAAGAUGGUCAAACUUGACUAUCUAGAAGAAAUAAACGUUGUAAUCAGGUUUCCAUAGGUAAAUCUGCAAAAG